rnacentral:rRNA from 1 species
GACGAACGCUGGCGGCGUGCUUAACACAUGCAAGUCGAACGGAAAGGCCCUGCUUUUGUGGGGUGCUCGAGUGGCGAACGGGUGAGUAACACGCGAGUAACCUGCCCUUGACUUUGGGAUAACUUCAGGAAACUGGGGCUAAUACCGGAUAGGAGCUCCUGCUGCAUGGUGGGGGUUGGAAAGUUUCGGCGGUUGGGGAUGGACUCGCGGCUUAUCAGCUUGUUGGUGGGGUAGUGGCUUACCAAGGCUUUGACGGGCAGCCGGCCUGAGAGGGUGACCGGCCACAUUGGGACUGAGAUACGGCCCAGACUCCUACGGGAGGCAGCAGUGGGGAAUAUUGCACAAUGGGCGGAAGCCUGAUGCAGCAACGCCGCGUGCGGGAUGACGGCCUUCGGGUUGUAAACCGCUUUCGCCUGUGACGAAGCGUGAGUGACGGUAAUGGGUAAAGAAGCACCGGCUAACUACGUG